rnacentral:rRNA from 1 species
UACAGAGGUCUCAAGCGUUGUUCGGAUUCAUUGGGUGUAAAGGGUGCGUAGGUGGCGCCGUAAGUCAGGUGUGAAAUUUCGGAGCUUAACUCCGAAACUGCAUUUGAUACUGCGGUGCUUGAGGACUGGAGAGGAGACUGGAAUUUACGGUGUAGCAGUGAAAUGCGUAGAGAUCGUAAGGAAGACCAGUGGCGAAGGCGGGUCUCUGGACAGUUCCUGACACUGAGGCACGAAGGCCAGGGGAGCAAACGGG